GAACGCUAGCUACAGGCUUAACACAUGCAAGUCGAGGGGCAGCAUUUCAGUUUGCUUGCAAACUGGAGAUGGCGACCGGCGCACGGGUGAGUAACACGUAUCCAACCUGCCGAUAACUCGGGGAUAGCCUUUCGAAAGAAAGAUUAAUACCCGAUGGCAUAAUUAGACCGCAUGGUCUUAUUAUUAAAGAAUUUCGGUUAUCGAUGGGGAUGCGUUCCAUUAGGCAGUUGGUGAGGUAACGGCUCACCAAACCUUCGAUGGAUAGGGGUUCUGAGAGGAAGGUCCCCCACAUUGGAACUGAGACACGGUCCAAACUCCUACGGGAGGCAGCAGUGAGGAAUAUUGGUCAAUGGGCGCAGGCCUGAACCAGCCAAGUAGCGUGAAGGAUGACUGCCCUAUGGGUUGUAAACUUCUUUUAUAUGGGAAUAAAGUUUUCCACGUGUGGAAUUUUGUAUGUACCAUAUGAAUAAGGAUCGGCUAACUCCGUGCCAGCAGCCGCGGUAAUACGGAGGAUCCGAGUGUUAUCCGGAUUUAUUGGGUUUAAAGGGAGCGUAGGUGGACAGUUAAGUCAGUUGUGAAAGUUUGCGGCUCAACCGUAAAAUUGCAGUUGAUACUGGCUGUCUUGAGUACAGUAGAGGUGGGCGGAAUUCGUGGUGUAGCGGUGAAAUGCUUAGAUAUCACGAAGAACUCCGAUUGCGAAGGCAGCUCACUGGACUGCAACUGACACUGAUGCUCGAAAGUGUGGGUAUCAAACAGGAUUAGAUACCCUGGUAGUCCACACAGUAAACGAUGAAUACUCGCUGUUUGCGAUAUACAGUAAGCGGCCAAGCGAAAGCAUUAAGUAUUCCACCUGGGGAGUACGCCGGCAACGGUGAAACUCAAAGGAAUUGACGGGGGCCCGCACAAGCGGAGGAACAUGUGGUUUAAUUCGAUGAUACGCGAGGAACCUUACCCGGGCUUAAAUUGCAUUUGAAUAUAUUGGAAACAGUAUAGCCGUAAGGCAAAUGUGAAGGUGCUGCAUGGUUGUCGUCAGCUCGUGCCGUGAGGUGUCGGCUUAAGUGCCAUAACGAGCGCAACCCUUAUCUUUAGUUACUAACAGGUCAUGCUGAGGACUCUAGAGAGACUGCCGUCGUAAGAUGUGAGGAAGGUGGGGAUGACGUCAAAUCAGCACGGCCCUUACGUCCGGGGCUACACACGUGUUACAAUGGGGGGUACAGAAGGCAGCUACCUGGUGACAGGAUGCUAAUCCCAAAAGCCUCUCUCAGUUCGGAUCGAAGUCUGCAACCCGACUUCGUGAAGCUGGAUUCGCUAGUAAUCGCGCAUCAGCCAUGGCGCGGUGAAUACGUUCCCGGGCCUUGUACACACCGCCCGUCAAGCCAUGAAAGCCGGGGGUACCUGAAGUACGUAACCGCAAGGAGCGUCCUAGGGUAAAACUGGUAAUUGGGGC
rnacentral:rRNA from 1 species